rfam:Felis catus isolate Cinnamon breed Abyssinian chromosome D1, whole genome shotgun sequence.
GCCUGAGUGGCUCAGUUGGUUGGGCAUCCGACUUCGGCUCAGGUCAUGGUCUUGUGGUCCGUGGGUUCGUGCCCCACGUCGGGCU